CGCUUAUUGGCCCGAAGAAUCGUGAAUAUUCAUUAAGCAGCCACAAAGGCAGGCUUGUUUCUUGACAGCACAGCCCCUUCUUUGCCAAGCGGUGGCAGGUGACCUGUGCCUUCACUUCACCAUACAACUGCACCCUCAAUCUUUUAUUUCACCAUGAGAAUAGCAGAGGGUGGGUGUUUCCAAUCCUUUGCCUUAUGGAGCUCAGGGACUCCCACAUCCUCAGGUCAGUUCCUUUCUCUACAGCCGGAUCCUUCUGCAGAACAAGUGUUUUCAGCGCUCUUGGUCCCCGUCCCCUCUACUCCCUUUCACCUGGACUCAAUGAGGCAACGGCAGAUGGCUACUAUCCCAAGUCCAAGUUUCUUCCGCAGUUGUAGCCUGAAUGAAGUAUAUUCACGAGGCCCACUUCAAGGUAGUACAACGAAGAAAAGACUACCAGUGCCCCAACAGAAGCUCGAGUCCCACAAGGAGAGCUGGCACAGACCUCCUCACAGUCCGGCUGCAUGUCUCAUAAAGCUGUUCCUAGAACAAG